AGGGAAUCUUCCGCAAUGGACGAAAGUCUGACGGAGCAACGCCGCGUGAGUGAUGAAGGUUUUCGGAUCGUAAAACUCUGUUGUUAGGGAAGAACAAGUACCGGAGUAACUGCCGGUACCUUGACGGUACCUAACCAGAAAGCCACGGCUAACUACGUGCCAGCAGCCGCGGUAAUACGUAGGUGGCAAGCGUUGUCCGGAAUUAUUGGGCGUAAAGCGCGCGCAGGCGGUCUCUUAAGUCUGAUGUGAAAGCCCCCGGCUCAACCGGGGAGGGUCAUUGGAAACUGGGAGACUUGAGUGCAGAAGAGAAGAGUGGAAUUCCACGUGUAGCGGUGAAAUGCGUAGAGAUGUGGAGGAACACCAGUGGCGAAGGCGACUCUUUGGUCUGUAACUGACGCUGAGGCGCGAAAGCGUGGGGAGCAAAC
rnacentral:rRNA from 1 species